GUCCCCCGUCACCUGCUUAGAGAGCACUGCCCCUUCCCGCCCGCGGUCGUCCCCAGGUACCCAAGCGGGCCCCCACACGAACGCAACGCCGUCAGCUGCCAUGGGAACGCCUCCCCAAGGAAGGGGCCGUCUCGGGCCGCAGAGAGGCUGGGGAUCAUGACCCAGACUCGACCUUCGUCCCAUCGCACCCCAAGACUCCCUCGGCCGCCCCUCCCGCCUAGUCGGUACGCGCUCCCGGAGGCCCCGCCCCUGCCGCAACACCGGCCGCGCUGGACCCCGUCGUCCCCGCUCCGCAGCGGGCUGGUGCAGCUCUUGAGCAACAUCAAGCAUGGCCCCAGAGUCUGAAGAAAAGCAGGUGCCACAAGCCCCAGCAGGUGGAGAGCCAGUCAUCGGUGAUUUGGGGCCUCCAACUGGUACACCUACAGACACAGUGGUUCCCUCAUGCUCCCAGAACACCAAGACCCACUCACCACGGUUGGCCUCUGGUCACCUGCAGUUGGCCCCUGAAGCACUGGACCCCCGCACCUUGAGACUGCUGUGGGGGCAGCGAGAACUGGAGAUCCGAGCACUUCGGUGGGCCAUCCGAAAUGGUCCUCAUGCCCGGCACUGUCACAUCCUGCAGGAGGUGUCAGGGCUUCCAUCUGAGAGGAGCUUCCACAGCCCAGACAAGUUUCUACAGGACGAGGUGGAGAAGCUGACCCUGGAGCUGAAAGCACAGAAGGAACAGGCCCAGCAGGAGAAGGAGCACUUAGAGGAGCAGCUGAUGCAGACUGUCAGCAUGCUGCAGCAACUGGAAGCCCAGCUGCAGGCCUUCCAGAAGUCCUGUCUCCUGCAGUUGGCCUGCUCCUCCUGGGUGGGCCGUGUACUGCGGUCCCAAACUGGCAGUGUGGAGGUGGUUACUGCAGAGACUUUAAUGGAUUCCAGUGACUUCUCUGAGAGUGAGCAGGCUCCCGCAGCUGGAGAGGGUAUCCGACUGGAGGAUGUGGACUGGAACAGCAUCGCCCACCGGUACCCCAAUCUCUUCACUGAUUCCAGCUCAAGGCACAAGCAGCCCCAGCAGUCCCCAUCACUGGAAAAGGGGGGCUCAGACUCCCCUGUCAAGCACAUGGAGAAACAGUCCAGGAGCCUGGAGUGGAGCUCCUUGCCCCGUGUGGGCACCAGCAGCUCCGGAGGUGCUGGCUCUGACUCUAGCAGCUGCCAGCUGGCCCUGCGUUCUGGAGUGCAGAAGGCAGCCGAGCACCCACCCCAGGCAGAAGGCUUGACAUCUUCAGAGCAGAUCCCCACAAGGGCCUGGAGCUUCAGCAGAGAUUCUGAAGAUCUGAAAACCCACUCACAACCGCUCAGCAAGCCCGCCUGGGAGCCCUGCACAGCCCCUGACCACCGGCGUGUCAGUCUCCAGUUGAGCCCUGCUGGCUGCUGCCUGAAGAUCGCGACCGUGAGCCGCCGCGAGAAGUUCAUCCGCGUCCUCAACCAGUCGCUGGAGCAGACAGUCGACCUGACCGGGUUCGUGCUGCAGCAGCUGGCGGGCGACUUCCCGGUGUGCCUGUACCGCUUCCCUCCCGGCACCCUGUUGGCGCCGCAGCACCACAUCACGGUGUGGGGGGAGGGGCCCAGAAGGACCACGAAGCAGCCGCCCUUGUCCUUGGGUCAGGAUGCCUUCCAGUUCCACUGCAGCCUGGGCCGCACAACACUCCUCCUGAAUCCCGAGGGCCAGGUCCUCAGUGAGCACCAGACCCCACACCGUGUGACCUCGGGCUCGAGGAUCUUCACCGACAACACUGACUGGUCCAUUGACCGCUUCCCACUCUCGAAGUCUCAGCCUAGUGCUGACACAAGCGAAUCCCAGCGCCGGCCUCGACCCCCCCGCAAAGGCCGGGUGCGGAACACCAGAGCCCGGCGCCAGAGACCCGGGAUGCGGGAUAUCUUGCCACUCCUAAGAACCUGCCAGCCUUUCCACCUGCCGGAAGUGCCAGUGAGGCCAGAGAACACCCAAGCUAAGACUCUCGAGCUCCUGCCUGCCAUCCCUGAGGCAGGGCUGUGCCCUGAGGAUGGCCCCACCAGGAAGGAGCACAAGGUCCAGGGCCAGACCCACUCUCCACCCCCACACCUGUCGAGAUGCUCCAGGGCCUAUGAAGACGUAGCCCUCCUGGGGCUCCCAUGACCUCACGGCACCCCUGGCCCCAGUGCAGUUCAGUUCUGCAAAGAUUGGGUCCAUCUCCCUCUCUGCCACCUCCUGAACUCCACUGGUGGACAAUGGGUGUGCUCCUCAUCCCUGUCUUCCAGUGAAUUCAAAACAAGUCAAGACAGUCCAGCAGUGUCCAUGAGGGUGACAGGAUGAAUCACCACCACUACCUCUACCAAGGGGACUCCAGUCCCAGCUGCCUGCAGGGCAGCAUCGCCUGUGCUCAUGUGGACAGGUGUGGACCGCAGGGAGGAGGGGACCUGUGCCCCUGCCACCCUGAGCCAGCCAGGAGGCCCUCAGCCACCACGCUGCUGUCCACACAGUCCUGACGGCCCGGCUGGAGCUGAGAAGCCAGAGCCCCUGGGCUGGAGCAGAGAGCUGGUGCUGUCAGGAUUUGCUGCACAGCCACAGUCACACAAGAGCCCCAGGUGAACUAGCCACACGUGGGAACGAGGACAGGAGCUCAGCAAAACCACCAGACACAACCGAGACACACAAACAGGACAACCAAUCAACUUCUAUUGAUUUUUGGGGAGGGAUUACAGGAACAUGCACUGGGCUUGGGUGUUUCUCUUGAUUUCUAAAAGCAAUUCUAAGUCAAUAUGGCAUUUCAUUAUAUUUGCAAUAAACAACUAAAAACACAACAGAGGGACUGGGGCUGGGGCUCAGUGGUAGAGCACUUGCCUAGCAUGUGUGAGGCCCUGGGUUUGAUUCUUAGCACCAUAAAUAAAUAAAUAAAUGUCUAUUGAAAAUUUAAAAAUAUUUAAAAGUACAACAUAAACAAACCUGUAUUCAAGACCCAACGUACUGUGCCCUAGGGAUUCAUUCAGUCCUGCUUCAGGGAAGAUACUGCUUCAGAGGAGCUAGUGCCCCCAAAAGCUGUCCCAAUGUUGGGGUUCUGGUUGGUCCGAUCACAGCCCUAACCUCUUGCCAGGGGUUGGAGUGGGACACUGUGCUGAGGAUGUUCUGCUGCUCCUCCCAGGGGACAGGUGGGGCAUGUUCCCUGCUCCCGGUGAAUGUCCCCCAAAGUCCUGUGCUGGCAGAGACCAACAGAAGAGAAGACAGAUACAAAUCCAUACAGCUACGAUUAUCUGAUUCUCCACGAAGAUGCCAAAAGCAUACACUGGUGAAAAGACAGCCUCUUUCAUAAAGGAUGCAGAGAAGCCUGGUUAUCCACAUGUAGAAGAAUGAGACUAGAUCUUCAUCUCUCUCCCUGCACAAAAGUCAACCCAAAGUGGAUCAAAAGACCUCUGAAUAUACCAGAAACUAUGCAACUCCUAGAAGGAAAGGCAGCUUUCAGACUCAGCAAUGACUUUCUCAUCAGGACCCCUAAAGCUCAGGAGUUAGUUACUGGGAUGGCUGUUUCACAACAAAGGAAACAUUAGGACUGUGAAGAGAGAACCUACCAAAGGGCAGAAAAUCUUUGCCAGCUACUCUUCUGACAGAGGAUUAA